GACCUCAAAUCAGGUAGGACUACCCGCUGAACUUAAGCAUAUCAAUAAGCGGAGGAAAAGAAACUAACAAGGAUUCCCCUAGUAACGGCGAGUGAAGAGGGAAAAGCUCAAAUUUUGAAUCUGGUGUCUUUGACUCCCGAGUUGUAAUCUAGAGAAGUGUUUUCCGUGUCGGACCGUGCACAAGUUCCCUGGAACGGGGCGUCAUAGAGGGUGAGAAUCCCGUAUAUGGCAUGGACUACCGAUGCUUUUGUGAUACACUCUCAACGAGUCGAGUUGUUUGGGAAUGCAGCUCAAAAUGGGUGGUAAAUUCCAUCUAAAGCUAAAUAUUGGCGAGAGACCGAUAGCGAACAAGUACCGUGAGGGAAAGAUGAAAAGCACUUUGGAAAGAGAGUGAAACAGUACGUGAAAUUGUUGAAAGGGAAGCGUUUGAAGUCAG
rnacentral:rRNA from 1 species